rnacentral:lncRNA from 1 species
UUGCGGCCUGGCGGCGGUGGUUGCCUGGCAACGCCUCCAUUUCCCAUCCUCCCUUGCGCGCGCGCGUUGCUAGGCAACCGCGGUGCUUCCCGGCCCCGCCCCGAGCGCGCGUUGCUAGGCAACGCCCUCACCGCUUCCCCCCGUUGCUAGGCAACGUCCAAUCAGCGCGCGGGCUCCGCCCCCCGUUGCUAGGCAACGUCCAAUCAGCGCGCGGGCUCCACCCCCCGUUGCUAGGCAACCCCCCACGCUUCCCGCCUCCACGCGCUGCGGUUGCCCAGGCAACGCCUCGCUUUCCCAGCAGCCCCCGCGGCGCUCCCGGCGUGCCCCGCGGCGGAAGGGGACCCCCUCCUGUCCCCCCCUAUACAAUUUUAGGGCUUUUACUCCCCCAAAUCCCCAAUUUUGGGGCUUUUCCAGCAAAAAUCUCUGUUUUUAGGCUCAAAUUCCAAUUUUAGGCACCCCCUUCCCCAAGAAAAGUCUCCGAUUUUGAGGUUUUUCCUUCAAAAUCCCUCUAAUUUCGGCAUUUUGGGUCAAAAAAUGUCCAUUUUCAGGACUCUCCCCCCAGAAAACAAUGCUAAUUUUAGGGAUUUCCCGGAAAACCCUCCAACUUCAGGUUCUUUUAUCAAAAAAACUCCAGUUUCAGGUUUUCCUCUUAAAAAAUGUACAAUUUCAAGGUUUCAUUUCUAAUUUCAGCGCCUUCACCCCCAAAUUUCUCCUAUUUCCAACCACCCCUCCCAAAAAAACUCCCCAAUUUCAGGACUUCUACCCCAAAACAACUCCCAUUUCAGGAUUUGCACCCCAAAACCCUCCAAUUUCAGGACUUCCACCCCAAAAUGGGGUGGAGCCGCUCGCUGUGGUGCUCCCAGUCCUGGUGCUGGUCCUCCCAGUGCUCCCAGUGCUGGCGGUCCCAGUGCUCCCAGUCCCAGUGCUGGUCCCAGCCCCAUUACUCCCAGUGCUCCCAGUAAUGGUGAUCUCGCUGCUCCCAGUGCUCCCAGUGCUGGUGCUCCCAGGGCUCCCAGUAUUCCCAGUGCUACUGGUCCCAAUCCCAGUACUGGUCCCAGUCCCGUUGCCCCUGUAGACCUCGAUUUGGCCCCGUUAAGAGCCAUUAAACCCCAGUUAGGCCCCAGUUAAACCCCAGUUAGGCCCCAGUUUGACCCCAUUAAGCCCCAGUUUCCCCCAUUAAGAGCCAUUAGACCCCAUUAAACCCCAGUAAGCCCCAGUUUGACCCCAGUUAGGCCCCAGUUUGAACCCAGUAGGCCCGGUUUUCCCCGUUAAGGGCCAUUAGACCCCAUUAAACCCCAGUAAGCCCCAGUUAGGCCCCAGUUUGACCCCAUUUCCCCCAUUAAGAGCCAUUAGACCCCAACUGGGCCCCGUUUUUCCCCGUUAAACCCCAAUUAGACCCCAAUUUAACCCCAAUUAGCCCCUAAUUAAGCCCCCUUAGGCCCCAAUUAGGCCCCAGCCCCGUCCCCGCCGCCCCCCGCUCCCCGCCGCUCCCUGCGCCCACCCCAAUCCACCGAGCGCCCCCAUUGGCCCGCGGCGGCAGCCAAUGGGCGGGCGCGAUGCUGAGCGGAGGGCGUGGCCUCCCUGGGUGGGCGGGGCGUCGAGCUGGCCACGCCCCUCCAGGCUCCCAGCCACCCGCGCAUGCGCACGGGGGGCUCGGCGCACGUGGGGCCGCACGCGGGGGGCGGGGCCUCGCCGCUCUUGGCGCAUGCGCAUAAAUGGGUGAUGAAAAAUGGGCGUGGCUUGUGCUGAGGGGGGCGUGGCUUGCGCGGAGGGGGCGUGGCCGGGGUGUGGCGCAUGCGCAGAGCGCGGGAAGGUGCC